GGCGACAUGAUGGAACUGGUAGACAUGAGGGACUUAAAAUCCCUUGGGCAUUACACCUGUACGGGUUCGAAUCCCGUUGUCGCUA
rnacentral:tRNA from 1 species